rnacentral:misc_RNA from 1 species
GCAAACUUGGUCAUUUAGAGGAAGUAAAAGUCGUAACAAGGUAACCGUAGGUGAACCUGCGGUUGGAUCAUUACUGAAUUGCGGGAAAAGAAUUGAACCUCCCCUUUGUGUGAACUGUUAUUAUUUCUUUGGUGGCCCACAAACAUGUUGGCGCGUCUUUUUUUACACUGCCUCUUUUGAUUGAGAUCUUGAGAGCAUGUAGAAAGGACGCGACUUCGGGCCACCUAACUGUUAUCAAAUUCUUUGAUGUAUAUUUUAUCUUACAUGAUUGUUUGAGUUGAAUCUCCAAUAAACAAAAAACAACUUUUGACAAUGGAUCUCUUGGCUCUUGCAUCGAUGAAGAACGCAGC